rnacentral:rRNA from 1 species
UGGGGAAUAUUGGACAAUGGAGGCAACUCUGAUCCAGCAAUUCGGUGUGUGUGAAGAAGGUUUUAGGACUGUAAAACACUUUUAGUAGGGAAGAAAGAAAUGACGGUACCUACAGAAGAAGCGACGGCUAAAUACGUGCCAGCAGCCGCGGUAAUACGUAUGUCGCGAGCGUUAUCCGGAAUUAUUGGGCUUAAAGGGCAUCUAGGCGGUUAAACAAGUUGAAGGUGAAAACCUGUGGCUCAACCAUAGGCUUGCCUACAAAACUGUAUAACUAGAGUACUGGAAAGGUGGGUGGAACUACACGAGUAGAGGUGAAAUUCGUAGAUAUGUGUAGGAAUGCCGAUGAUGAAGAUAACUCACUGGACAGCAACUGACGCUGAAGUGCGAAGGCUAGGGGAGCAAACAGG